rnacentral:rRNA from 1 species
AUGCAAUUUGGCACCGCAAGCACCGGCCUCCGACGUCCUCUCCUCCCCUUCAUUUUUUUGCUUUUUCAGAUUUCACUUGGGCACAAUACUUCAGUUCGCUUUGGGCAUCAGUGCGGUGCAGCUGGAUGUCCAGUCCACCGACGAGCGUGCUUGCAUUUCGGUGGCAUGAGGCUCGUGGUCAGACGUGCAGUCCGGUGGAACCGGCGAGUUCAUUUCGGUGCUCGCCGCCAUAGUUUGUUUCUUUUUUUGCAGUCUCCCCUGGCCGUGGAGUUUACUCAAAGAAGAGAAGUCACGCUCGGGCCGCACUGCAGUCCGAUGGCGGGGCGCGUUCAGUGCUCUAUUGCUUUGGUGGGAGAAAAGGGAGUCCUAGUGUCGCCUCUAAACUCUUUUGGUGAUGCGGUUACGUCCACCUGCACGCACAACCCAGAAAAAGAGUCGAGUGGACUAUACGGUUGGUUGUUCCUGGGUUCAAUUCACUAA